AUUGAACGCUGGCGGCAUGCCUUACACAUGCAAAGUCGAAACGGCAGCACGGGAGCAAUCCUGGUGGCGAGUGGCGAACGGUGAGUAAUGUAUCGGAACGUACCUUUCAGUGGGGAUAACGUAGCGAAAGUUACGCUAAUACCGCAUAUUCUGUGAGCAGGAAAGCAGGGGGAUCGCAAGACCUUGCGCUGAUUGAGCGGCCGAUAUCAGAUUAGCUAGUUGGUGAGGUAAAGGCUCACCAAGGCGACGAUCUGUAGCGGGUCUGAGAGGAUGAUCCGCCACACUGGAACUGAGACACGGUCCAGACUCCUACGGGAGGCAGCAGUGGGGAAUUUUGGACAAUGGGCGCAAGCCUGAUCCAGCCAUGCCGCGUGAGUGAAGAAGGCCUUCGGGUUGUAAAGCUCUUUCAGCCGGGAAGAAAACGCAUGGGUUAAUACCCUGUGUGGAUGACGGUACCGGAAUAAGAAGCACCGGCUAACUACGUG
rnacentral:rRNA from 1 species